UUCUGUUACUUUUUACAACUUAAACUGAGCUGGGCAUAGUGGCAUAGACCUGUAAUCGCAGCACUCCGGGAGGCUGAGGCAGGAGGAU
rnacentral:miRNA from 1 species